rnacentral:rRNA from 1 species
UAGGGAAUCUUCGGCAAUGGACGAAAGUCUGACCGAGCAACGCCGCGUGAGUGAAGAAGGUUUUCGGAUCGUAAAACUCUGUUGUUAGAGAAGAACAAGGACGUUAGUAACUGAACGUCCCCUGACGGUAUCUAACCAGAAAGCCACGGCUAACUACGUGCCAGCAGCCGCGGUAAUUCGUAGGUGGCAAGCGUUGUCCGGAUUUAUUGGGCGUAAAGCGAGCGCAGGCGGUUUCUUAAGUCUGAUGUGAAAGCCCCCGGCUCAACCGGGGAGUGUCAUUGGAAACUGGGAGACUUGAGUGCAGAAGAGGAGAGUGAAAUUCCAUGUGUAGCGGUGAAAUGCGUAGAUAUAUGGAGGAACACCAGUGGCGAAGGCGGCUCUCUGGUCUGUAACUGACGCUGAGGCUCGAAAGCGAGGGGAGCAAACAGG